UACGGAGGGUGCAAGCGUUAUCCGGAUUUACUGGGUUUAAAGGGUGUGUAGGCGGGCUUUUAAGUCAGUGGUGAAAUCUCCGGGCUUAACCCGGAAACUGCCAUUGAUACUAUUAGUCUUGAAUACUGUUGAGGUGGGCGGAAUAUGUCAUGUAGCGGUGAAAUGCAUAGAUAUGACAUAGAACACCAAUUGCGAAGGCAGCUCACUAAGCAGUCAUUGACGCUGAGGCACGAAAGCGUGGGGAUCAAACAGG
rnacentral:rRNA from 1 species